AGGACUUCUUGUUGUUCCCCUAGUAGAUGUCCAACAAGACAAGGGUUGUUCAUUUGUUAGGAGGCAAGGCCAGAGGCACGAGUGCCAGCAUGCACAUGUCAGAAAUGAAUCCGGUUAAAUGGAUGGUUGUAAAGGGGUUAACUGCCAUUCAUCACUGUGGUAAGACAUCUUCCCUAAUGAAGCAGCAUUAGAGCACCUAUGCCAUUGAUUGAGGCUCCAGAAGGAUUAAUUGCAUUGCAGGAAAUUACUGAAGUGCAUGUGAAAGAUAUUGAAUCAGAAGUUAAAAGUGAUAAAACGCUGCUAAGGACUGUGGGUGCACCUCUGUUGGACUUUAUUUGCUUGUGAACCAAAGACUGCUGCCAUCGUCUCAAGUACCUGCUUUAAAAAAAAAUCUAUACUCCUUAUCAUAAAAAACAAAACAAAUAAUGGCCAUGUUUUAAUGAUUGUGGGCUUGUGAUUUCCAACUUGCUGUCUUAUCACUUUUCUUACUUUAGACUUCAGUCUUGUAAAAGUGGGGAUCAUUUGGCCCCUGGGGGUCCGGGCUGCCCCGGCCCCGGCCCCCAAACCAAAAAUGCGUCGUUCAAGUACAGAUGAGACCCCGUACCGCCGGAGUCCGUCUCUGGACAGCAAGGGCUCGGCGCCUCUGCGCUACAGCGGCGAGUACGAGUACCACAGCUCGCCCUUCGUGUUCGGCCUUCGUACCACACCGGGCUCAAAGAAAACUACAGCCAGCUACACCACGGCACAGGGACGGAAAUAUGUGGUGUUUUACCUCGACCUGUCCUUCAUCUUUCUUCUAGAGCUGCGGCGCUGCAGGAUGGCCGAGGGCUGCCUGAGGGCCCUGAGAUACGGGAUGGUUUUCUUCAAUCUGCUCUUCUGGCUGGGCGGCUGUGGGCUUCUGGGAGUGGGAGUUUGGCUUUCCAUCACGCAGGGAAACUUCGCCACGCUCUCCUCGUCUCUACCAUCGCUCUCCGCCGCCAAUCUGCUCAUCGCUGUGGGAAGCAUCAUCAUGGUGAUUGGCUGCCUGGGCUGUGUGGGCGCGGUCAAAGAGAACCGGCCCUUACUCCUGAGUUUCUUCAUUCUGCUGCUCCUGAUGUUAUUGUUGGAGAUCCUGUUCAUGGUUCUGUUCUUCUCGUAUCAGGAUCAGAUUGAUCUGUAUGCUCAAAGUGACCUGAAGAAAGGCCUGCAGCUCUUCGGGACUGAAGGAAACAUCGGCCUGACCAACGCCUGGAGCAUCGUCCAGACAGACUUUCGCUGCUGUGGAGUGACCAAUCACACGGACUGGUUUGAUGUGUAUAACGCGACGCGUGUGCCGGACUCCUGCUGUCUGGAGUUCAGUGAUGACUGUGGUCUGGAGAAUCCUGGCACCUGGUGGACGGCUGUAAGUCAUCUCUCUCAUCAAACUCUCUUUCUUCUCCUGUGCUGGUUUGGGCAGGACAGACAGAAGCUCUGUGUUUGUGUCCACAGCCGUGUUACGAGCGAGUGAAGGGCUGGCUGCAGGAGAAUCUGGUGGCUCUGUGGAUCUUCGCUCUGUGUACGGCUCUCACACAGAUCCUGGGGCUGGUGUUCUCCAUGACCAUCUUCUGUCACGCCGUGAAAGUGGACACCUUCUACGCAUAGAGACAGAACCGGACCAAACACACCUGCAUCGGCACACUUCUCCAUCGCUGGAGCAAUCUGAACAUCUCGCUCACACACUGCUAUUUGCAACAUGAUUUUAUAAUCCAGAUCACCUGAAAGAAUGAAAACUGCUCUUUGUGAGUAUUUAAUGGACAGUUUUUUUUUCUUUUUCUGUUUUGUCCAUUUGUGAAGAGGGAGAGCAGGAACUAAUGUCAUAAUUUUAUACUAGUAUAACUUCAAAUUAAUACGUAUAAAAUGAAUAACCUCUGUUUAUAUUUAUUCAGAGCGAAUUUUCAAUAGAUUUAAAAGA